rnacentral:rRNA from 1 species
UGCCAGCAGCCGCGGUAAUACGGAAGGUGCAAGCGUUGUUCGGAAUGACUGGGCGUAAAGCGCACGUAGGCGGGUCUUUAAGUCGAAUGUGAAAGCCCCAGGCUCAACCUGGGAAUGGCAUUCGAAACUGUAGAUCUUGAGUGUCUGAGGGGUCAGUGGAAUUCCAGGUGUAGGAGUGAAAUCCGUAGAUAUUUGGAAGAACACCAGUGGCGAAGGCGGCUUUCUGGACCGAUACUGACGCUGAGACGCGAAAGCGUGGGGAGCAAACAGGAUUAGAUA